GCAGGGAUGUGACAGGGGCUGGGGGAUAGGACACACACACACACUCUCUCACACACCAUGACAGUGACAGUGCACUCCAUCAACAACAGGCUGGAGGUUGGUGCUAGCUCUGGGUGAGGGAAGCCCUAAGCUGAUGUGUGUGGCAACUGAGGCAUUAGAUUAGUAGAGAGAAAGAAGGCAAGAUGGCUCACUGUAAGUGUCAAAGCACUUACAGCUAAGCUGAUCGUACAGUAGAAGAAGAUUGGUCCUAAAGUUGUCGUCUCACCUUCACAUGUCUGUUGUGGGAUGUUCAUGCACACACAUGCAGAGAAGUUAAAAAACAAACCACAAAAUUAGAGGAUUAUUAUUGUUGUUGUUGUUAUUAUUAUUUGUGGGAUAUGAUGGUUUGUAUACGCUUGCCCCAGGGAGUGGCACUAUUAUAAGGUGUGGCCCUGUUGGAGUAGGUGUGGCCUUCUUGGAGUAGGUGUGUCACUGUGGGCUUUAAGACUAGCUGCCUGGAAGCCAGUCUUCUGCUUAGCAGCCUUCAGAUGAAGAUGUAGAAGUCUCAGCUCCUCUUGCACCAUGCCUGCCUGGAUGCUGCCAUGCUCCCAUCUUGAUGAUACUGGACUAAAGCUCUGAACCUGUAAGCCAGCCCCAGUUAAAUGUUGUCCUUAUAAGAGUUGCCUUGGUCAUGGUGUCUGCUCACAACAGUAAAAUCCUAACUAAAACAAAGGAGAAAUGCUUUGAACAGGAAACACACACACACACACACACACACACACAGAGAGAGAGAGAGAGAGAGAGAGAGAAACGCAAGGUGGAGUCACUUUCAGGACCUGGAUCUGUAGAUCUGUGGGUCUGGAACAAUCAGUGGAUACUCCAGGAACGAAGAUCCCAAAGCGUGAGCUGUCCAGGAUUGUAAGGAAGGAGGGGAUAUUGCUGCGCAGAUACAAGAUCUGCACUUGAUGAUUUGUGUGGACGCUUAUCCACCAGAUGUCAGCCGAGUGUCUCGUUUGAACAAGUUCAAAAUAUCGUCUUACAUCUGAGAAAGAGGAGGAAAGGAGAGUCUAUUCCCAAGCAUCCUACCCCUCGAGGGACUCCACAUCCCCAACCGGUACAAGCAGAAGAAGUGGAGUGAGUCACUGGUCAUGCAUUCUGUUAUCAUCCAUGUUUGCAUCUGUUUUUCUUGCAAGCCUCCACUUCCCCUCUAAAUCAGUCAUUUAUAUCCUCAUCUAAAUUAUGUAAAAACACUGUUGUAAGUUAAAGACUGCUUGCAAGAGCAAAAGCCAGCUUCACCUACGCACCCUGCUCUCGAUUCUAUUUCUUGGAUGGGCCAUGCUCAUUUCUUGUCAUAUGUGUUUGAGUACACUAGCCAGGGUUAGUGGUGCUUGCUGCUGUAACCAAAAACAUCCGAAUAAUGGCAGCCCAGUGGCAGGGUCUUGGUUCUCCUCAGAGAAGGCCUGCAGGAAGAGAGUGGUUGCUGGCCACUCAUGUGGGGACUCAGUCAUGCUUCUGUUGAUGUUCUGUGUACUAUCUUCAUCCCGGGCUUUCAAGUCUUCUCUGGAAGAAGAGGAAACGGGGUUGGUGUGCUGAAAUGUGGGAGAGGCUUUAUGCUGGAGCAAGAUGCACUCUCAGUUCUCUCAGCUCUCACAGACCGCAAGAAAGAGCCCAGCACAAAAGGGCAGGCUAUUGCGGAGAACUAGGAGCAUGGAGUUUAGCUGAGGUCCCAAGAAGGGCCAGAGAAGCACAGCGCAUUGCCCUUACCACUGUGGGACUGAAGACCUGGGAUAUCUUUCACAAGGCAUUUGAAGAGCCAAAUGUCAGAUAAGUAGAUCUGCAGACCCUGUGUGCUGAAGCCGUGGGUUCUAGACAUCCCCUGGAGGGUUUCCUAAUGUGUUAGCUGUCAUGCUUCCCCAGGUCUCAGCAGGCAAGCGGCCUCUGGCUAAGUGCCACUAAACCUCUCCUAAGAUGUUCUUUUCUUAGAUCUGGGUCUGAGUGAGUGGGACCCCAUCCUCUAGUAACGUCACCAUUACUGCCAAAGGGAGGGCUGGGGCGGGGGAAAGAGCAGAUGGAUCUCCUGUGCCCAUCCCUGCUCCGGCCUGACCGCUGCUGUGCUCACCCCCUCCCUGCCUGACCGCUGCUCUUUCACCACAUUUUUUAAAACAUCCCUCUGAGUGUCAGGCACCAGAGGCACCUUGGGAGCCUCGCUGGGCUGCAGCGCAGGGAGCAUCGCUGGGCAGCCGGCACGCGCUAACUGGAUAUGCUCAGGUCUGUCUGGAUCGCCUCUGAAACAUUACUAACUUCAGAUCUUGAUUUUUUUCCUUAGAAGUGAAGCCAAGUUAUGAAGCCAGCAUUCCUGUCAAUCCUAAUCCCCGACUCCAUCUUCAUCCAUGGAUUGUCCAAGUAUAUUCUAAUUUUCAACCCAAUAUGUAAUUAAUGUUCACAGUGAUUAGUAAUUGUAGAGCAGACAAGAAUUGCCCAGGCAGUAGUACCUGAGGGAUUUGGAGCUCAAUUUUUAGGGAAAUGGCCUCACUGGAUGCCCUUCUGCAUCAUCUAACUACAUGUGACCAUGAAGAAAGGUCCCUUCUACUCAUAAGCCCACACUGAUGUACUACAAUCACUGGAGGCUAAGCCUAUGUGUUAAGGACACGGUGGUGGCACUGGCUGGAUCCUUGUGAGGAUUGCAUGACACCUCAAUGGUGGGAGCAGAUAGCAAGGAGGAGAAAUGAUGAGGUAAGGCUGGAAGCUGGAUGUGAGCCGGUGAGACCGGAAGCUGGAUAUGAGAUGGUGAGACCGGAAGCUGCAUGCGGUCAGGUAGGGGAGCAGGAUUGCCCUCUAUUGUGGUAAGAGCCACUUACGGUCCCCUCCCCCCACCAGUGCUACUUCCCAUUGUAUUCCAUGUCCUACACAUGAUCUUUGACAAGAUCCUAGGGCUUGUCAAACCACCAGUACCCAACAUAUGAGCCCUUGGGGAGGAUGCUCAGAUCCUAUCCAAACCACGGCCCGUGCUCUCCACUUGCAUCUCGCUCUUGGAACAGCAGCCCUUCUCUUCAGCCCCUUCAGCCAUCUCAUUCCUUCAAUCUCCUUUACUGUCUGCUUGUUUCCUUGAGAGCUCACAUUGCAGCUCACUCUUCCAGGGACCAGAGUCUUCCCCGGCGAUGCUAAAUUUGGACUCUACUGCUCUGCCUUCGUAUCUCUGUGAAUAAGUCGUGUGAUUUUUUUUUGUCUCAAUCUUUCAAAAGGCUUUGCAAUAAUGAUUCAACUCAGUGUAUGUGGUAUCAAUGGAGCAUACAAACUCACCAUGGAGUUCACGCGUGUCCAAGCAAUUAGGAGGCUAACCACCCUGUGAAAAACACAUAUCCCAGAGGCAACGAAAUUAGCAUCUAGGCGGCAGCAUCUUUAUAAUGAAGAUUUAAUCUGAUCUUUUCGAAGACGAUAUAAGCAGUCUGCACACUUCUUAAGGAAGUACCAGUGUUCCUUUAUAAGAUGGCUGCAAAUCUGUUCUAAAAUAGUGUCUGCUACUUCAGUUAAAGUUCAAGGAAAAUUGUCCUUAAAAAGAAAACAAAUUGAAUACCAUAAGAUACAGAUACCUAAGACAUCACAGGAAGAAGUCAGUUUUGACUUAAGGAGUCCUGACUGGAAGAGGCAACCUUCUAGUGAACUGUUCCUCUGGGCAGUGUUGGGCCUUAUUCGUCUGGAUACUGAGGCCUAGUGGGGAAGCCUGAGUCUUUGCUCGAGUUUAGAGACCUGUCUUGUUCACUUCCAUACUGGAGUGGCUCAGCACAACCUACUUAAGCCUGCCUUUGCCUAGCUACCACUGAUGUAGAAUAACUUUAUUGGCCCUGUCAGUCACCCCAUACCCUCCAUCACCCUUCCCCGGCCCCUACCUCAUCUCACCUCACCAAAAAUCCCCACCUCCUUCCUCAACCCUAUAUAAACAAAAGACUGAUGCAAUAAAAUGAGUUCCUGCUUUG
rnacentral:lncRNA from 1 species